rnacentral:piRNA from 1 species
UGUCAUUGAAGUUCUUGAUAUUUUUGGU